AGCAGCCGCGGUAAUUCCAGCUCCAAUAGCGUAUAUUAAAGUUGUUGCAGUUAAAAAGCUCGUAGUUGAAUUUCGGAGUUUGUCGGUUGGUCGGGCUUCACUGUCCGCACUGGCCUGAUGGAUUCCUACCUUCUGAAUAACCAGCAUGCUAUUAAGUUAGUGCGUUGGGGAAGCAGAGCUAUUACCUUGAAAAAAUUAGAGUGCUUAAAGCAGGCUUUUGCUUGAAUAGAUUAGCAUGGAAUAAUAAAAUAGGACGGCAUGGUUCUAUUUUGUUGGUU
rnacentral:rRNA from 1 species